rnacentral:misc_RNA from 1 species
UUGCCAUCACCGUAGAUUUGGAACUUAUCGAGCGGUGGAUGAACCUCUGAGGGGUGAGUAUUGUCAAAGUAGGGCCAUGAAGCAAUAGAAUUGCAACAAAUGUAGGUGAAAGGUAUACCGUACUCUUCAAUCAAGUCUCUAACCUUGCGCUUCUCAAUGUACAUUCGGAGACCAGGCUCCACCGGCUCUGUCCUGUUCACGUCGUGCCCAAAUUCCGAUGGCAAAAAUCUCUUAACAGUGCCCACAGCUUUAAUAGCUUCGACAAGAGGAAGCUGAUCCAAUAUUUUCUCACCACCUACAGCUGAUAUUACUAUUUCAAUCUUAUGCUCUUUAAGUAUCUUCUCCAUCUUUUCCUUUUGAUUAAUCAAUCCGUGCAAGACUUUGGCUCCCUUCUCCUCAAGAGACCUGAGAACUUUAGCCUUAGAAGGGCAAGUAGGAGUGGAGCGGACAAGAACAUAGGUCGGUCUACCGGAGGCUAAGCAGGCAUCAGCUACAAAAUGACCUAUAAAACCAGUUGCUCCGGCGAUGAGGACUGGACUCUUCACUUUGGGAACAGAAGUUGCAGGAAUAGUCAUGCUGGUUGAACCAAAGUAUUGUUUGUGUCUGAAUACGAAAAGGGGUUGGGUU